AGUCACUGACAUUAGACUAACCCCCGUAGUCCCAGCCGUAAACUAUGCGCGUUAGGUGUACUGGUGACCACGAGUCGACCGGGGGUGCCGAAGGGAACCGUGAAACGUGCCGCCUGGGAAGUACGGUCGCAAGGCUAGAAACUUAAAGGAAUUGGCGGGGAGCACCACAACGGGUGGAGCCUGCGGUUUAAUUGGACUCAACGCCGGAAAUCUCACCGGAUAGGACAGACAUAUGAUAGUCGGGCUGAAGACUCUACUUGAUGAUCUG
rnacentral:rRNA from 1 species